rnacentral:rRNA from 1 species
GACAGAGGGUGCAAACGUUGUUCGGAAUUACUGGGCGUAAAGCGCGUGUAGGCGGCUGAGCAAGUCGGAUGUGAAAGCCCUGGGCUUAACCUAGGAAGUGCAUUCGAAACUGCUUGGCUUGAGUUCUGGAGAGGAAGGCGGAAUUCUCGGUGUAGAGGUGAAAUUCGUAGAUAUCGAGAGGAACACCUGCGGCGAAGGCGGGUAGCUGGGCCGACACUGACGCUGAUGCGCGAAAGCCAGGGGAGCGAACGGG